rnacentral:rRNA from 1 species
AACGAACGCUGGCGGCGUGGAUAAGACAUGCAAGUCGAACGGGAUUUUCUUUGGUAGCAAUACCGAAGAAAGUCUAGUGGCGAACGGGUGCGUAACACGUGGGCAAUCUGCCUUAAAGUGGGGGAUAGCUCGGCGAAAGCCGGAUUAAUACCGCAUGUGAUUACUGGAGACAUCUUCGGAACAUCAAAGUCGGGGCAACCUGACGCUUUUUGAGGAGCCCGCGGCCUAUCAGCUAGUUGGUGAGGUAACGGCUCACCAAGGCUUUGACGGGUAGCUGGUCUGAGAGGACGACCAGUCACACUGGAACUGAGACACGGUCCAGACACCUACGGGUGGCAGCAGUCGAGAAUUUUUCUCAAUGGGGGAAACCCUGAAGGAGCGACGCCGCGUGGAGGAUGAAGGUCUUCGGGUUGUAAACUCCUGUCAUUUGGGAACAAUGCUUACGUAUUAACUGUACGUGAGUUGAUAGUACCAGAAGAGGAAGAGACGGCUAACUCUGUGCCAGCAGCCGCAGUAAUAC